rnacentral:rRNA from 2 species
UGCGUGAAGCUGGAAUCGCUAGUAAUCGCGGAUCAGCAUGCCGCGGUGAAUACGUUCCCGGGCCUUGUACACACCGCCCGUCACACCACGAGAGUUUGUAACACCCGAAGUCGGUGAGGUAACCUUUUAGGAGCCAGCCGCCGAAGGUGGGACAGAUGAUUGGGGUGAAGUCGUAACAAGGUAGCCGUAUCGGAAGGUGCGGCUGGAUCACCUCCUUU